UACGUAGGGGGCAAGCGUUGUCCGGAAUCAUUGGGCGUAAAGCGCGUGUAGGCGGCCUUGUAAGUCCGUUCUGAAAGCCCGGGGCUCAACCCCGGGAGGCGGAUGGAUACUGCAAGGCUCGAGUACGGAAGAGGCGAGUGGAAUUCCCGGUGUAGCGGUGAAAUGCGCAGAUAUCGGGAAGAACACCCAUGGCGAAGGCAGCUCUCUGGGACGGUACUGACGCUGAGACGCGAAAGCGUGGGGAGCGAACAGG
rnacentral:rRNA from 1 species